GAUGAACGCUAGCUACAGGCUUAACACAUGCAAGUCGAGGGGAAACGGCAUUAAGUGCUUGCACUUUUUGGACGUCGACCGGCGCACGGGUGAGUAACGCGUAUCCAACCUUCCCAUGACUAAGGGAUAACCUGCCGAAAGGCAGACUAAUACCUUAUGGUCUUCACUGACGGCAUCAGAUGUGAAGUAAAGAUUUAUCGGUUAUGGAUGGGGAUGCGUCUGAUUAGCUUGUUGGCGGGGUAACGGCCCACCAAGGCAACGAUCAGUAGGGGUUCUGAGAGGAGGGUCCCCCACAUUGGAACUGAGACACGGUCCAAACUCCUACGGGAGGCAGCAGUGAGGAAUAUUGAUCAAUGGGCGAGAGCCUGAACCAGCCAAGUAGCGUGCAGGAUGACGGCCCUAUGGGUUGUAAACUGCUUUUGUAUGGGGAUAAAGUCAAUCACGUGUGAUUGUUUGCAGGUACCAUACGAAUAAGGACCGGCUAAUUCCGUG
rnacentral:rRNA from 1 species